AGUGAACGCUGGCGGUAGGCCUAACACAUGCAAGUCGAACGGCAGCACAGUAAGAGCUUGCUCUUACGGGUGGCGAGUGGCGGACGGGUGAGGAAUACAUCGGAAUCUACUUUUUCGUGGGGGAUAACGUAGGGAAACUUACGCUAUACCGCAUACGACCUACGGGUGAAAGCAGGGGAUCUUCGGACCUUGCGCGAUUGAAUGAGCCGAUGUCGGAUUAGCUAGUUGGCGGGGUAAAGGCCCACCAAGGCGACGAUCCGUAGCUGGUCUGAGAGGAUGAUCAGCCACAUUGGAACUGAGACACGGUCCAGACUCCUACGGGAGGCAGCAGUGGGGAAUAUUGGACAAUGGGCGCAAGCCUGAUCCAGCCAUACCGCGUGGGUGAAGAAGGCCUUCGGGUUGUAAAGCCCUUUUGUUGGGAAAGAAAAGCAGCAGGUUAAUACCCCGCUGUUCUGACGGUACCCAAAGAAUAAGCACCGGCUAACUUCGUG
rnacentral:rRNA from 1 species